UACGUAGGGGGCAAGCGUUGUCCGGAUUUAUUGGGCGUAAAGAGCGUGUAGGCGGCCGCAUAGGUCCGUUGUGAAAACUGGAGGCUUAACCUUCAGACGUCGAUGGAAACCGUGCGGCUAGAGUCCGGAAGAGGAAAAUGGAAUUCCUGGUGUAGCGGUGAAAUGCGCAGAUAUCGGGUGGAACACCUGUGGCGAAGGCGGCCAUCUGGACGUUCACUGACGCUGAGACGCGAAAGCGUGGGUAGCAAACAGG
rnacentral:rRNA from 1 species